rnacentral:rRNA from 1 species
GACGAACGCUGGCGGCGUGCUUAACACAUGCAAGUCGAGCGGUAAGGCCCUUUCGGGGGUACACGAGCGGCGAACGGGUGAGUAACACGUGGGUGACCUGCCCUCAGCUCUGGGAUAAGCCUAGGGAAACCGGGUCUAAUACCGGAUAUGACUCCAUGACGCAUGUUGUGGGGUGGAAAGCCUUGUGCGGCUGAGGAUGGGCCCGCGGCCUAUCAGCUUGUUGGUGGGGUGANGGCCUACCAAGGCGACGACGGGUAGCCGGCCUGAGAGGGCGACCGGCCACACUGGGACUGAGACACGGCCCAGACUCCGUACGGGAGGCAGCAGGUGGGGAAUCUUGCGCAAGUGGGACGAAAGCCUGACGCAGCGACGCCGCGUGA